rnacentral:lncRNA from 1 species
CCCCCGUUAGAAGAUGACGACUCGGACAAAUGUCCAUUGGCUAGGCCGGCUUCAGCUGGAAUACCCGCAGCUUGCUCGCCUCCUUGACCCGCGACUUCUUCAAUACCCGCAGCUUGCUCGCCUACUUGAUCCGCGGCUUGCUCAAGGCACCGACUCUUGGCCUCUCGCCAUAAUUGGCUUUCUUCAUAGUCAUUGAUAAACUCGUACCAUUUAUCUUGGGCCUCCUCGAGCGAAAGGUUUGCGAACAACUGCGCGGAAAAUUCAGGUAAAUCGGCCGGAAUACCAAGUACCUUUUCCCCUAUAAAAUAGCUUU